AAGUCGUAACAAGGUCUCCGUAGGUGAACCUGCGGAGGGAUCAUUAACACGUAUCCAAUACAAACCCACCGUGAAUUUGUCUCUCCCUAUUUGGUUUGAUCGUUCUUCGUUGAUGUGGAUUGAGUGCUCAGUUAAUACCUGGGCACGUCUAUGAAGAACUAGAGUUCCAGUAGUUCACGCUACUGAGGUCUCAGAUCGAGCUGAGUAGGCUAAUUUUUAAUAUUUCAUCCUUCUUCCCGGGUGAAAUAUGAAUACAAACCAUAUCCACUAUUAUUUUCAAUAAUUGAACUAACCAUAUUCAGCAAGCGAAAGCUUGGCUCGAGUAAUUUUACGAAAUGUAGAACAACUCUUAGCAAUGGAUAUCUUGGUUCUC
rnacentral:misc_RNA from 1 species